rnacentral:rRNA from 1 species
GUUAAUUAGUUAAAAAAGUUACUGUGGCAAAAUUAUUUUAAAUAAUUAAUUCGCAAUGAAAUGUUAUUCGUUUUUAAAUAUAUCUAGUUUUUUAAGAAAAAAAUUUAAUUUUAAAUUUUUUUAAAAAAUAAUUAAUUAAUUAAUUAUUUUUUAAAAUAAAAUUUUAUAUUUUAGGGGAUAAGCUUUAAAUUAAAAUAUUAUAAUAAUUAAAUAAAAAUUUAUUGAAAAUUAUAUAAUUUAGAUUGUUAAUUAAAUUUAAUUUAUUAUAAAUAAUUUCAUUAAAAUAAAAAUUUAAUUUAAUUUAAAUUUUUAUUAAAAAAUAUUUUAAAAUAAGUAAAAAUAAGAUAUAAUGAUAAAAUUAGUAUAAUAUUAAUAAUUAAAAUAAAAUUUAUUUUUAAUUUAAAUUAAUUAAUAAAAAGGAAUUCGGCAAAUUAUUAUAUUCACUUGUUUAACAAAAACAUGUCUUUUUGUAUUUAAUUUAAAGUCUAAUCUGCCCACUGAUUUAAUUAUUAAAGGGCUGCAGUAUAUUGACUGUACAAAGGUAGCAUAAUCAUUAGUCAUUUAAUUGAUGACUUGUAUGAAAGAUUGGAUGAAAUAUUAACUGUCUCUUUAUUAAUAUAUAAAAUUUAAUUUUUUAAUCAAAAAGUUAAAAUAAAUUAAUAAGACGAGAAGACCCUAUAGAGUUUUAUAAAUAAAUUUAUUUAAAAUUAUUUAUAAUUUACAUCAAAUUAAAAUAAAUUUAUUUAUUUUGUUGGGGUGACAAAAAAAUAAAAUUAACUUUUUUUAAAAUUUAAACAUAUAUAAGUGAUAAUUUGAUCCAAUUUUAUUGAUUAUAAGAAAAAAUUACCUUAGGGAUAACAGCGUAAUUUUUUUUUUUAGUACAAAUAAGAAAAAGAGUUUGCGACCUCGAUGUUGGAUUAAGAUAAA